GACGAACGCUGGCGGCGUGCUUAACACAUGCAAGUCGAGCGGGAAGUUUUUAAUAGUUUCUUCGGCUGAAGUUUAAAAUGGGAGGCUGCCGACUGGUUAGUCACGCUUAGGCUAUCUGAUCCCUACAAAAGGAUAGCAUUUAUACACGAUUAUUAAUACCUUAUGAUACUUGACUAUUGCAUGUUAGGUAGGUUAGAGAUUUAUCGGUAUGGGAUGGGCCUGGGUCUGAUUAGCUAGUUGGUGAGGUAACGGCUCACCAAGGCGACGAUAAGUGGCCGACAUGAGAGGGUGAACGGACAGAUAGGAACUGAGACACGGGCCAAACUCCGACGGGAGGCAGCAGGAGGGAAUAUUGCAGAAUGGGGGAAACACUGAUGCAGCAACGGCGCGGGAACGAGGAAGGCGUGUGGGUCGUAAAGUUCUGUUCUAGGGGAUGAAAACUGACAGUAACAGAGGAGAAAGCACCGGCUAACUCCGUG
rnacentral:rRNA from 1 species